GGAGGAGUGCCGGAGUGGUCUAACGGAGCGGAUUGCUAAUCCGUAGGGGAGAAAUCCCCUCGUGGGUUCAAAUCCCACCUCCUCCGCCA
rnacentral:tRNA from 15 species